AUUGAACGCUGGCUGCAGGUCUAACACAUGCAAGUCGAAGGGAGCGGCGGACGGGUGAGUAAUGCCUAGGAAUCUGCCUGGUAGUGGGGGAUAGCGUCCGGAAACGGGCGCUAAUACCGCAUACUCUCAGCUGGACCUAGGUCGGAUGAGCUAGUUGGUGGGGUAAAGGCCUACCAAGGCGGCGAUCCGUAACUGGUCUGAGAGGAUGAUCAGUCACACUUGAACUGAGACACGGUCCAGACGCCUCCGGGAGGCAGGAGUGGGGAAUAUUGGACUAAGGGCGAAAGCCUUAUUCAGCGAUGCCGGGUGUGUGAAGAAGGUCUUCGGAUUGUACAGCACUUUAAGUUGGGCGGCGUUACCAACAGAAUAAGCACCGGCUAACUUCGUGCCAGCAGCCGCGGUAAUUC
rnacentral:rRNA from 1 species